GACGUAGGAUGCAAGCGUUGUUCGGAAUUAUUGGGCGUAAAGCGUGCGUAGGCGGCUAUUUAAGUCUGGUGUUAAAGCUAGGGGCUCAACCCCUGUGUUGCACUGGAAACUGGGUAGCUUGAGUGCGGUAGGGGAAGGUGGAAUUCCGAGUGUAGCGGUGAAAUGCGCAGAUAUCAGGAAGAACACCGAUGGCGAAGGCAGCUCUCUGGGACGGUACUGACGCUGAGACGCGAAAGCGUGGGGAGCGAACAGG
rnacentral:rRNA from 1 species